AGACCAUGGUGAGGACACUCUAAGAGGAGGCCCUUAAAACGUUCCAUGCACCUAGAAAAUGGUUCAUUGGGUCUUUGGUGAAACUGGAGAAUGUCAUUCCUAAGCUU
rnacentral:snoRNA from 1 species